CACGUGGGUUAUCUGCCUUUAAGACUGGGAUAACAAUUGGAAACGACUGCUAAUACCGCAUAACAUACACGGACCGCAUGAUCUGUGUAUCAAAGCUUUAUGUGCUGAAAGAUGGCCUCGCGUCUGAUUAGGCUAGUUGGUGGGGGUAACGGCCCACCAAGGCGACGAUCAGUAGCCGAACUGAGAGGUUGAAUCGGCCACAUUGGGACUGAGACACGGCCCAGACUCCUACGGGAGGCAGCAGUGGGGAAUAUUGGGCAAUGGGGGAAACCCUGACCCAGCAACGCCGCGUGAAGGAAGAAGGCCUUCGGGUUGUAAACUUCUUUACCAGGGACGAAUAAAUGACGGUACCUGGAGAAAAGCAACGGCUAACUACGUG
rnacentral:rRNA from 1 species